rnacentral:rRNA from 1 species
AUGAGGAUGAUCGAUACAACAUUGCACAAAACUUGUUCAAAGAAGAGACAAGGACAACCAAGAAGGGGAAGAUCAAGAAAGGCAGGAAACAAACGGAAGCGAGCAAUUGAGAUGAAUGAUGAUGAUGAGGAGGAUGAUGCAUCAAGUGAUGACGACAAGAGAAGCCCCACACCCAACUCGGUUUCAUACUCGAAGCCAAAACGACCGGAUGGGUGCAAGAAAGACAAAACCGAAAAGAAGAAGAGGAAAGGAGAUGAUGAGCUCAAAAAUGCUAUGGAAGCUAUUGUGAAGGCAAGGGUCGAAGCGAAUGAGGUGAGGAAAAUGGCAAGGAACCAAGAUGCCAUGGCCGAGGAGAGGAGGUUGGCGGCCGAGGAGAGAAGGGUGGCGGCCGAGGAGAGAAAGGUGGCUUUGGAGGAGAGGAAAGUGAGCAACGAGGAGCGAGCUAAGUUGUUGGAAUGGGAGAAGCACUUAGCCUUGGUUCAUGCAAUGGGUGGCGGUGGCCUCGACGCCAUGGGUGGCAGUGGCUUCGGCUCCAUGGGUGGCGGUGGCCUCGGCGCCAUGGGAGGCAUGGGUGGCUUCGGAGCCAUGUGA